UUCUCUUAUUUGAAUGGUGCUGGUGACCUCACAAGGUUUCCAUGGUAACAAGACCAAGGGAGCCAGGGGGACUUGGUGAAUUAGGCCAAACAAACCCACCUCCAAGAGUCUUCUCCCAGACUCCGGGCUUGAGGAUGAGGACUCCAGGUAAUCAGUGAGCUUGCUGAAGAGGGAAGGUUGGGGGCUGGGGACAUGCCAGGCCAGGACCUGCAACAGAAACCGCCGCCCCACCUUUCCUUUCUGUGCCCCACCCCGUCCUGCCUGAAAAUUUCCUUUCCAUGAGGGCUUGGUGCUGAGUGUGGCCCCCACAGGGAUGUCUGUGUGGUCACAGAGUACCUGUGGGAGGGCAAUUCUGACCCCAAGGUAGGAAGCAGUGAUCCGGUAAUUCCAGGCACCAAGGCAGAUAAGAAGACCAAGCCACAGCCUCCUCAAGAAGUUUGAAGUCUGCAUUGAACUCAUUAAUUUCCAGCUUUUGGCCGGGCGUGGUGGCUCAUGACUAUAAUUCCAGCACUUUAGGAGGCCAAGGUGGGCGGAUCACCUGAGGUCAGGAGUUUGUGACCAGCCUCACCAACAUGAUGGGGCCCAUGAGUGAGGAGGACAAGAGAGAAAGAGAAGUUUGGGUGGAAAUCCCAGAGAUUGUUCAUCAUGUGAGAGGAGCUGUGCAUGCAUUUCAUGCCAUACUCACACCAUGGAUGGAGAAAAAAAAUCAAGCUUCACUUUCUAAGAAUGGCCCUGGGGGCACUGCAUCUAGUGCCUGUGCAUCUGCAGACCUGCCGGAUGCCUCCAGGGGAAUCAUGCCACCCUAAGCAAGAAAGGGCCCAGUUGCCAGGAGCCUGGAGGCAGAGAGCUGAGGAGCCAGCCCCUGACAUCAGAAUGGAGCUCAAAGGUUGGCUGGGUGUGACUCUGCCGCGGACAGCUUCUCUUGGGAAAUCUACUUUAAUGAAUCCAGAGGAGCAAUUUGUAAUCAGCCCAUCAGAUGUUCAGCGACACUUAGCUGGAAUCUCAUUGCUGGACUCUGUGCCCCACAGUGGAUGACAGUUCUCCAUCAGGGUCUGCAGUCCUCUACCCUGGACUUGCUGCAUCCUGGAGCCCCCAGCAGUCAGGUACCGGCUCUCAGAACUGCCUGCAUCCCAUUGGCCUGAGCUGCUGUCUGCCAGGGCUGCUGGUAACCAGGCCCACAGGGUUGGAUAUUCCCCCAACAGGGCAGCUCCCAGUCCAAGCCCAACUGUUACCAGCCCAGAAAGAUGUUUCAGGAUACCUCUUUCCUCCCCACUUCCCUGCCCUCUGCAGCUCCAGCUGGUGCACCCCAUCUUUCUCUCCCCCUCCCUGCUAGGCUGGGCCCUAACAGGAGACCUUUGAGGUGGUUGGGCUUGUUCUGCAACCUUGAGUACCCUUGAGCUACUACCUCACUCCAUUCCUCACUUUUCUUCUUCUUAAGGUUUCUAAUUGGAUUUUGCCAGUGUAUUUAUUUCAAAACUGGUCAUCUUACUGACCUCGCUUAUAGUCUCUUAUUAGUUUUCUAGUUGAUUCUCUUGAGUUUUCUGGAUAAACAAUAAUAUCAUGUACAAAUAAUGAUGGCAAUUUCUCCUCCUUUCCAAAUGUUGUGUUUCCUUUUGUGUUUUAAUGUACUCUUGCCUUGGCUAAAACUUCCAAAACAAUGUAAAAUAAUUGUGUUAAUAGCAGGCUUUCUCAUUCCACCCUGACUAAAAUAUGAAUG